UGAGUAAUGUCUGGGAAACUGCCUGAUGGAGGGGGAUAACUACUGGAAACGGUAGCUAAUACCGCAUAACGUCUUCGGACCAAAGUGGGGGACCUUCGGGCCUCAUGCCAUCAGAUGUGCCCAGAUGGGAUUAGCUAGUAGGUGGGGUAAUGGCUCACCCUAGGCGACGAUCCCUAGCUGGUCUGAGAGGAUGACCAGCCACACUGGAACUGAGACACGGUCCAGACUCCUACGGGAGGCAGCAGUGGGGAAUAUUGCACAAUGGGCGCAAGCCUGAUGCAGCCAUGCCGCGUGUAUGAAGAAGGCCUUCGGGUUGUAAAGUACUUUCAGCGAGGAGGAAGGCAUUAAGGUUAAUAACCUUAGUGAUUGACGUUACUCGCAGAAGAAGCACCGGCUAACUCCGUGCCAGCAGCCGCGACGUUUACGGGGGGGGGGCGUUAAUCGGAAUUACUGGGCGUAAGCGCACGCAGGCGGUCUGUCAAGUCGGAUGUGAAAUCCCCGGG
rnacentral:rRNA from 1 species